rnacentral:misc_RNA from 1 species
UCCGGUUUGACACCGGCAGUCUCCCUAGAGUGCCCGGCAUAACCCGCUGGUAACACGCCACGGGGGUUGCGCUCGUUGCGGGACUUAACCCAACAUCUCACGGCACGAGCUGACGACAGCCAUGCAGCACCUGUGCCGGCUCCCGAAGGAGCGCCGUGUUUCCACGGUUUCACCCGGCAUGUCAAGCCCUGGUAAGGUUCUUCGCGUUGCGUCGAACUAAUCCGCAUGCUCCGCCGCUUGUGCGGGCCCCCGUCAAUUCCUUUGAGUUUUAGCCUUGCGGCCGUACUCCCCAGGCGGGGCGCUUAAUGCGUUAGCUGCGGCACAGAGAACCGGAGAGGUCCCCCACACCUAGCGCCCAACGUUUACAGCGUGGACUAC